rnacentral:lncRNA from 1 species
UAAACAUUGACAAACACUUGAUUAUGCAUGUUGUUGCUUGCUAGUGUAGUAAAUUGUUAUUAUUAUAUUUUUUUCCUGAGGUCAUGGUGGGUCUGUUAAAGUUGAAGCUUGUGCAGAUUCAGGUUCAAGCUCUUUGUUCCACAUGGAUCUGUCCAAGUGUUGUUUUAGGGUAAAAAAAUCCCCUUGACGUUUUGGCAUUCUACAAAUAAAACGUGUUGGUGCAUCUGGUUUGCUUGGCACCGCCACCUGAAAACGCAAGAACAGAAAGACACUUUUUUUUAGGGUUAGUGGUCUCGCUGUGAAGGUUUUUGAAAUGUGUGAAAGAAAAGAGAUGUAGACCCUCCUCUGCCACCAAUUUUACAGACCAAUUAUCUACUUGGAGUUCAACAAACAAACAGCAGCGCUGCUGAGUGCUGGCAGGUCUCUGGCUGGUGGGUGACCUCCGAGCCUCUCACAGGGCUUUUACACCAGAUCAAUUCCUCAUCACAAGAGCCAGCGCCAGCCCCCGCCAUGAUUCACCUUGCUCAUUCACCUGCCCUGGUCGCACGGGCGCCACACCAACCCAGAACCACCUUUCAUUCAUUGAUCACCUCUGUAUCAUCAUCAUGAAGGACGAAGGAACUGGGAAAUCUAUUUAUUUACAGACGUAUCACUGUUUUUAUCACCUACCACAAACUGGGGUUUGUAUUGCUGCUCGAAUAAAUUAAUGUUUUGUUUAUUAUUAUUAUUUUUUUGCGAGAUAGAGACUAUGUGCAUCAGCAGAGGCAGAGUAUGGGUGUAGGCUGACAGUGACAAUUGUCAAUUUCAGCAGGAAGCAGCACAGACAGCUAGCUAUUAGUCAGCCACAGCAGAGUAAAAUCAAUGGCAUCCUGAUUAGACUGAUGACAGCACAUUCACAGUUCGAGGCGGGAGUGUCCAGACAUAGACGAGGUGUACAGCAAAUAAGCUCUACUUGUCUGCACACAAAGAAAAUCCACCCCGCUUUGUUUAUCAGGUGUAAAGAUCUGGAAAGACUGCUGGGGAAUAGGGACAUUUCAGAUGUUAUUCUCCGAUAGGGACAUUUCAGUUAUUUUAGCUCAACCAUUUCAGCACUGAUCUGAUUUUCAUGUCUUGGCAG